rnacentral:lncRNA from 1 species
UAAAGUUUUUAAAGAAAAAGAUUGUGCAAGGAACAAAUCACAAGCUUAGGUUUCUAUAUUUACACUUUCGAUAAAUAUCCUUUAAGCUCGACCUUCAAUUAAAAUCGGUUAAUCCUUUUGCCCCAAACUGGAAAAAGAUGUUUUUGACGGUAUUUUAUACCCAACACUUACACUGGGGUUUCUUAAAUAUUCUAAAAUGCAUUUUAUUUGAAAAAUCAGUGUCCAUAUCGCAUUUUAAGGACAUAUGGAAUUACCUUUCCAGCGUUCCUGCUUGGACGGCUCGCAGUUAACAGCGCUACCGAAACCAGUUCGAUCCUGCCGACACCGCACUUCGCUCGGCGAGUGAACUACGAGAGCUCGGGGCUUCCACCAACUCCCAGUGCAGCGGGCCACGAAGGAUUCUACAGCCAGGCUCGAUUAAGGGUUCGUGAGAAUUUUAAGUUUGGUGGCUUCCGGCAGGACGGACUUGGCUCAGCUGCUGAAAUUAUCUGUGUAAGUAUAAAACGUUUUAUUCGUUUACACGUAUCGUAUUGAAGUACACUAUAUACUGCUACUGUUUGAAAACG